rnacentral:siRNA from 1 species
UGCCAAUCGCUAACAACC